UACGACCAAGCGAGCAACCAUGGAUGUAAAGGCGGGAGGAGAGGAAUUUUCUUUCAUUCGGCUCAGUCCAAGAUCUCGGCGAAUACAGGGCGGCCACAGCGAGAGGCUGAGGCCGUCUUAGAAACCAGGCAGGUCCCUCCGGGGAGCCGGCUCGGGACCUCACUUCGCCGGGCAGGCCGCGCCGGGGUCCGCGACCGGACGCACAGGGAGGCGGGGCGGGGCGGGCGGCGGCAGCGACAGCGGCAGCGACAGCGACGGGGAGCCGACGGCACAGGCCGCGGAGAAGCAGCACAAAGGGAGAGGCGGGCGCAGGGAGCCGGGGGCGCAGGCGGGCCGCGGGGGCAGGCCCACCGCGAGGGGCUCGGCUCGGCUCGCUCGCCGCCGCCCGGCCGGAACCUGCGAAGCGGCCCCGCGGAGGCCGGGCCCCCGCCGCCGCCGCCGCCCGCCGCCGCCCGAGCCCCCGGCCGCCAGCCAGCGCCCGCCAGGCCCCACUCACCCGCGACCACCGGGUCCAAGCGGCAGCGUCUGCGCUUUCGGAGGAGGGACGUGCUGCCGCCAAGCCAAUGGGCACCGCAAGAGAUGCUGACAAAGGCGCGCUUGCGUCACCGGGGGCGCGCGGGACGUAACGCUGACGCCCAGGCGGAGGCGCGGGCUGGCUUCCGGCGCGGCCGCCGUGAGCUCAGAGCCCGCGGCCGGCGAGGCAGAGCUUGGCUGUCCUGCGCGGACCACGAACCCGGGACGAGGAGGGACGGACAGCGCCGGUGCAGGGGGCCCGCCGCCGUAGGGGCCGCCGCCGUAGGGGCCGCUGUGCUCAGCUGCUCACUCUGCUGGUUGGAAGUUCGAGGGCAGGGAAUCGUCCUAAGCGCUCGUCCACCCCGGGCGGCUGAGCGCACUGCUGGGUUUGGCGGCGGCGGCGGCUUUACUCAGUUCUGCUUAGUAUGGACCCAAGAGAAAUGGGAACACGCAGGACCGAUCUGCCCUCAAGAUACCGCGCAAAGUUAA
rnacentral:lncRNA from 1 species